AAUUCGACCAUAUUGAACUAGAGAAAUACAUAGAGGAUCACAUCAAGUCCAGCACAUUCGUUGUUCGAGUUCAGAAAUACGACAACCCUCCAAAACACGAGACGCAAACAGGAUUAGUAGCUCACACAGACAAGAACAUUCUCACCAUAGUGCAACAACUCAAUCACAUCACAUCACAUCGUAGGAUUGGAGAUUCUCUCACCAAAGAUGGCCAAAAAUGGUUCACUGCACACCCAACAUCGCCUUAUUCUUUCUUUGUCUUUGUUGGAAUCUCUUUCCACGCAUGGACACUGUCCCAUUCAUAGAGUGAUGAUGAGGGGAGACGAAGCUCGAUACUCGAUCGCGUUAUUUUCGACUAUGAAAGAGGGGAGCAUAGUGAAGGCCCCUGAGGAACUGGUGGAUGAAGAUCACCCCUUACUCUACAAGCCUUAUGAUUAUCACAAGUUUAUGGAGUUUUACUUAUCAUACGACGCCGCUCUCACUUCUCCAAAUCCUCUCAACGAUUAUUGUGGGGUCUAAUUCAUUUCAUCACCUCAAUUUUCCAUAAUUAAACAAAAAUUAUACUAUAUGGUGUGUAUUGGUUUUUAUCAAGAGUUGGAUGCAAGUUAUAUUGUGUGAAAAUUUGUGCAAGCCCCUAGCUCCAUGUAAUUGCUAUUGGUAAUAAAUUAAUAAUACUAUAACUUCAACUA